AAAAACAUGUCUUUUUGAAUAGAAUUUUAAGUUUAAUCUGCCCGUUGAUUUUUAUUAAGAGGCCGCGGUAUUUUAACUGUGCAAAGGUAGCAUAAUCAAUAGUUUUUUAAUUAGGGACUGGAAUGAAUGAUUUAAUGAGAUUAUUUUUUUCAUUUAUUUUAUAUUUGGAAAUUGAAAUUUAAGUGAAAAUGCUUAAAUUUUAAUGUGGGACGAGAAGACCCUAAAAUUUUUAUUUUAGGUUAAUUUAUGGUGUGGGGAUAUUUUGUUAAAUUGUUUAAUUGAAAU
rnacentral:rRNA from 1 species